GAACGCUGGCGGCAGGCCUAACACAUGCAAGUCGAGCGGUAACAUUUCUAGCUUGCUAGAAGAUGACGAGCGGCGGACGGGUGAGUAAUGCUUGGGAAUAUGCCUUAGGGUGGGGGACAACAGUUGGAAACGACUGCUAAUACCGCAUAACGUCUACGGACCAAAGGGGGCUUCGGCUCUCGCCCUUAGAUUAGCCCAAGUGGGAUUAGCUAGUUGGUGAGGUAAUGGCUUACCAAGGCGACGAUCCCUAGCUGGUUUGAGAGGAUGAUCAGCCACACUGGAACUGAGACACGGUCCAGACUCCUACGGGAGGCAGCAGUGGGGAAUAUUGCACAAUGGGCGCAAGCCUGAUGCAGCCAUGCCGCGUGUGUGAAGAAGGCCUUAGGGUUGUAAAGCACUUUCAGUAAGGAGGAAAGGUUAGUAGUUAAUACCUGCUAGCUGUGACGUUACUUACAGAAGAAGCACCGGCUAACUCCGUGCCAGCAGCCG
rnacentral:rRNA from 1 species